GACGAACGCUGGCGGCGUGCCUAAUACAUGCAAGUCGAGCGAAUCUUUUGGGAGCUUGCUCCCUUAAGGUUAGCGGCGGACGGGUGAGUAACACGUGGGUAACCUGCCUGUAAGACUGGGAUAACUUCGGGAAACCGGAGCUAAUACCGGAUACUUUCUUUUCUCGCAUGAGGGAAGAUGGAAAGAUGGUUCUGCUAUCACUUACAGAUGGACCCGCGGCGCAUUAGCUAGUUGGUGAGGUAACGGCUCACCAAGGCGACGAUUCGUAGCCGACCUGAGAGGGUGAUCGGCCACACUGGGACUGAGAAACGGCCCAGACUCCUACGGGAGGCAGCAGUAGGGAAUCUUCCGCAAUGGACGAAAGUCUGACGGAGCAACGCCGCGUGAGCGAAGAAGGCCUUCGGGUCGUAAAGCUCUGUUGUUAGGGAAGAACAAGUACGAGAGUAACUGCUCGUACCUUGACGGUACCUAACCAGAAAGCCACGGCUAACUACGUGCCAGCAGCCGCAGUAAUAC
rnacentral:rRNA from 1 species